rnacentral:rRNA from 1 species
CUACGUAGGUGGCAAGCGUUGUCCGGAAUUAUUGGGCGUAAAGCGCGCGCAGGCGGUCCUUUAAGUCUGAUGUGAAAGCCCACGGCUCAACCGUGGAGGGUCAUUGGAAACUGGAGGACUUGAGUGCAGAAGAGGAAAGUGGAAUUCCAAGUGUAGCGGUGAAAUGCGUAGAGAUUUGGAGGAACACCAGUGGCGAAGGCGGCUUUCUGGUCUGUAACUGACGCUGAGGCGCGAAAGCGUGGGGAGCAAACAGGAUUAGAUACCCUGGUAGUCCACGCCGUAAACGAUGAGUGCUAAGUGUUAGGGGGUUUCCGCCCCUUAGUGCUGCAGCUAACGCAUUAAGCACUCCGCCUGGGGAGUACGGUCGCAAGACUGAAACUCAAAUGAAUUGACGGGG